CGCCGAAUAGAAUUAGACCCUGAAAAUAGGAUGGCGCUUAAGCAUAUUACUUAUACUCAACCGUCACAACUCAAAUACAAAUUAAUUAAGAGUUGACGUGUAGGAGGGCGUGGAGCUUUGUUAAGAAAUCUCUGUCAGUGAUGAUGGAUGGAACAGGCUCUAGUGCAGAUCUUGGUGGUAGUAGCAAAUAUUCAAAUGAGAACUUUGAAGACUGAAGUGGAGAAAGGUUCCAUGUGAACAGCAUUUGGACAUGGGUUAGUCGAUCCUAAGAGAUAGGGGUGAAGCCGUUACAAAGGGUAAUUGCAAUUGAUGCCAGAUAUGUCUACGGAUGUGUUUGGUUUCCUUCUCACGAAGGACUUUGCAUCUUCUAUCGAAAGGGAAUCAGGUUAAUAUUCCUGAACUGAACAGGGG
rnacentral:rRNA from 1 species